AACAAAACAAAAUACAGGAGUAGCAUACAGACAGAAACACAGGAACAGAAUCAAUAACACCUCGGGGAAAGAACCAACGGGAGUGACAGAUAUAGAGGAGUCCAGGGGAGUCUCAUCACGCGCAGGUGUGAACCAACGGGAGUGACAGAUAUAGGGGAGUCCAGGGGAGUCUCAUCACGCGCAGGUGUGAACUAAUGGGAGUGACAGAUAUAGGGGAGUCCAGGGAGUCUCAUCACGCGCAGGUGUGAACCAAUGGGAGUGACAGAUAUAGGGGAGUCCAGGGGAGUCUCAUCACGCGCAGGUGUGAACCAACGGGAGUGACAGAUAUAGGGGAGUCCAGGGGAGUCUCAUGAUGCGCAGGUGUGAACUAAUGGGAGUGACAGAUAUAGGGGAGUCCAGGGGAGUCUCAUGAUGCGCAGGUGUGAACCAACGGGAGUGACAGAUAUAGGGGAGUCCAGGGGAGUCUGGACGGCGGCAGGUGUGUGUAACGAUGGCGGCAGGUGUGUGUAACGAUGGUGACAGGUGUGUGUAACGAUGGUGACAGGUGUGUGUAACGAUGGUGACAG
ensembl:lncRNA